AAGAGUUAGGGUCCUCUAGGCCCGAUCUCCCAACCCUUUGUUUACCAAACCAUUUUGUUGCUUCGGCGAGCCCGUCUUCACGGACCGCCGGGGGACCUUCACUGGACCCCUGGCCCGCGCUCGUCGAUGGCCCAAACCUUUAAAUUCUUAACUAAACGUGUCAUGACUAAGUACAAAUUUUUUAAUUAAAAGCA
rnacentral:misc_RNA from 1 species